AGCAGCCGCGGUAAUUCCAGCUCCAAUAGCGUAUAUUAAAGUUGUUGCAGUUAAAAAGCUCGUAGUUGAACUUCGGGGUCUACCCAUUGGUCAGGCUUAAUUGUCUGCACUGGUGAGAUGGAUCUCUACCUUCUGAGGAACUUUCAUGCCAUUUAUUUGGUGUGGUUGGAAAUCAGGACUGUUACUUUGAAAAAAUUAGAGUGUUUAAAGCAGACUAUCGUCUGAAUACAUUAGCAUGGAAUAAUGAAAUAGGACGGACUGAUUCUAUUUCGUUGGUUUCUAGGAUCACCGUAAUGAUUAAUAGGGAUAGUUGGGGGCAUUAGUAUUCAAUUGUCAGAGGUGAAAUUCUUGGAUUUAUUGUAAGACUAACUACUGCGAAAGCAUUUGCCAAGGAUGUUUUCAUUAAUCAAGAACGAAAGUUAGGGGAUCGAAGACGAUCAGAUACCGUCGUAGUCUUAACCAUAACUAAUGCCGACUAAGGGUAUCGGACGAAGUUAAAUUUUGUUAAAUUGGACGCGUU
rnacentral:rRNA from 1 species